rnacentral:rRNA from 1 species
GUGGGGAAUCUUCCGCAAUGGACGAAAGUCUGACGGAGCGACGCCGCGUGAGUGAAGAAGGCCUUCGGGUCGUAAAGCUCUGUCAUCAGGGACGAACGGCCGGUGGAGUGGAAAGCCACCGGAUUGACGGUACCUGAGAAGGAAGCCACGGCUAACUACGUGCCAGCAGCCGCGGUAAUACGUAGGUGGCAAGCGUUGUCCGGAAUUAUUGGGCGUAAAGCGCGCGCAGGUGGGAUCUUAAGUCCAUUUUUAAAGUUCGGAGCUCAACUCCGUGAUGGGAUGGAAACUGGGAUUCUUGAGUACCGGAGAGGAAAGCGGAAUUCCCCGUGUAGCGGUGAAAUGCGUAGAUAUGGGGAGGAACACCAGUGGCGAAGGCGGCUUGCUGGGCCGAAACUGACGCUGAGGCGCGAAAGCGUGGGGAGCAAACAGGAUUAGAUACCCCGGUAGUCC